rnacentral:rRNA from 1 species
GACGAACGCUGGCGGCGUGCCUAAUACAUGCCAGUAGAACGCACAGUUUAUACCGUAGCUUGCUACACCAUAGACUGUGAGUUGCGAACGGGUGAGUAACGCGUAGGUAACCUGCCUGGUAGCGGGGGAUAACUAUUGGAAACGAUAGCUAAUACCGCAUAAUAUUAAUUAUUGCAUGAUAAUUAAUUGAAAGGUGCAAUUGCACCACUACCAGAUGGACCUGCGUUGUAUUAGCUAGUAGGUGAGGUAACGGCUCACCUAGGCGACGAUACAUAGCCGACCUGAGAGGGUGAUCGGCCAAACUGGGACUGAGACACGGCCCAGACUCCUACGGGAGGCAGCAGUAGGGAAUCUUCGGCAAUGGACGAAAGUCUGACCGAGCAACGCCGCGGGAGUGAAGAAGGGUUUCGGAUCGUAAAGCUCUGUUGUAAGAGAAGAACGGGUGUGAGAGUGGAAAGUUCACACUGUGACGGUAUCUUACCAGAAAGGGACGGCUAACUACGUG